rnacentral:rRNA from 1 species
GGAGUAUGGACCGUGUCUCAGUUCCAUUGUGGGCCGUUCAUCCUCUCAGACCGGCUACCGAUCGUCGGUUUGGUGGGCUCUUACCCCGCCAACUGCCUAAUCGGACACAGGCCUCCUCGCAAAGCGAUAAAUCUUUAAUGCGGUGCUCAUGCGAACUCCGCACAACAUUCGGUAUUAGUCGUCCCUUUCGGAACGUUGUCCCCAACUUUGCGGGCAGAUUACCUGUGCUUUACUCACCCGUUCGCCACUAGCACCGAAGUGCCCGUUCGACUUGCAUGUGUUAAGCACGCCGCCAG